rnacentral:rRNA from 1 species
GACGAACGCUGGCGGCGUGCUUAACACAUGCAAGUCGAACGGAAAGGCCCUGCGUUUGUGGGGUGCUCGAGUGGCGAACGGGUGAGUAUCACGUGAGUAACCUGCCCUUGACUUUGGGAUAACUUCAGGAAACUGGGGCUAAUACCGGAUAGGCGUUCCUGCUGCAGGGUGGGGGUUGGAAAGUUUCGGCGGUUGGGGAUGGACUAGCGGCUUAUCAGCUUGUUGGUGGGGUAGUGGCUUACCAAGGCUUUGACGGGUAGCCGGCCUGGGAGGGUGACCGGCCACAUUGGGACUGAGAUACGGCCCAGACUCCUACGGGAGGCAGCAGUGGGGAGUAUUGCACAAUGGGCGGAAGCCUGAGGCAGCAACGCCGCGUGCGGGAUGACGGCCUUCGGGUUGUAAACCGCUUUCGCCUGUGACGAAGCGUGAGUGACGGUAAUGGGUAAAGAAGCACCGGCUAACUACGUG